GCCCACCCUGGAAACGGCU
rnacentral:snRNA from 1 species